GUAAGGAAUAUUGGUCAAUGGAGGGAACUCUGAACCAGCCAUGCCGCGUGCAGGAUGACUGCCCUAUGGGUUGUAAACUGCUUUUGUCGGGGAAUAAACCUACGUUUGCGAACGUAGCUGAAUGUACCCGAAGAAUAAGGAUCGGCUAACUCCGUGCCAGCAGCCGCGGUAAUACGGAGGAUCCAAGCGUUAUCCGGAUUUAUUGGGUUUAAAGGGUGCGUAGGCGGUUCUUUAAGUCAGAGGUGAAAGACGGCAGCUUAACUGUCGCAGUGCCUUUGAUACUGAAGAACUUGAAUUGGGUUGAGGAAUGCGGAAUGAGACAAGUAGCGGUGAAAUGCAUAGAUAUGUCUCAGAACCCCGAUUGCGAAGGCAGCAUUCCAAGCCUAUAUUGACGCUGAUGCACGAAAGCGUGGGGAUCGAACAGGA
rnacentral:rRNA from 1 species